rnacentral:rRNA from 1 species
GGUUAAGCGACUAAGCGUACACGGUGGAUGCCCUGGCAGUCAGAGGCGAUGAAGGACGUGCUAAUCUGCGAAAAGCGCCGGCGAGGUGAUAUGAACCCUUGACCCGGCGAUGUCCGAAUGGGGAAACCCAGUGCAAUCCGUUGCACUAUCGUUAACUGAAUACAUAGGUUAACGAGGCGAACCGGGGGAACUGAAACAUCUAAGUACCCCGAGGAAAAGAAAUCAACCGAGAUUCCCCCAGUAGCGGCGAGCGAACGGGGAGCAGCCCAGAGUCUGAAUCAGCUUGUGUGUUAGUGGAAGCGUCUGGAAAGUCGCACGGUACAGGGUGAAAGUCCCGUACACGAAAAUGCACAGGCUGUGAACUCGAAGAGUAGGGCGGGACACGUGGUAUCCUGUCUGAAUAUGGGGGGACCAUCCUCCAAGGCUAAAUACUCCUGACUGACCGAUAGUGAACCAGUACCGUGAGGGAAAGGCGAAAAGAACCCCGGCGAGGGGAGUGAAAAAGAACCUGAAACCGUGUACGUACAAGCAGUGGGAGCACCUUCGGGUGUGACUGCGUACCUUUUGUAUAAUGGGUCAGCGACUUAUAUUCUGUAGCAAGGUUAACCGUAUAGGGGAGCCGAAGGGAAACCGAGUCUUAACUGGGCGUUAAGUUGCAGGGUAUAGACCCGAAACCCGGUGAUCUAGCCAUGGGCAGGUUGAAGGUUGGGUAACACUAACUGGAGGACCGAACCGACUAAUGUUGAAAAAUUAGCGGAUGACCUGUGGCUGGGGGUGAAAGGCCAAUCAAACCGGGAGAUAGCUGGUUCUCCCCGAAAGCUAUUUAGGUAGCGCCUCGUGAACUCAUCUUCGGGGGUAGAGCACUGUUUCGGCUAGGGGGCCAUCCCGGCUUACCAACCCGAUGCAAACUACGAAUACCGAAGAAUGUUAUCACGGGAGACACACGGCGGGUGCUAACGUCCGUCGUGAAGAGGGAAACAACCCAGACCGCCAGCUAAGGUCCCAAAGUCAUGGUUAAGUGGGAAACGAUGUGGGAAGGCCCAGACAGCCAGGAUGUUGGCUUAGAAGCAGCCAUCAUUUAAAGAAAGCGUAAUAGCUCACUGGUCGAGUCGGCCUGCGCGGAAGAUGUAACGGGGCUAAACCAUGCACCGAAGCUGCGGCAGCGACACUAUGUGUUGUUGGGUAGGGGAGCGUUCUGUAAGCCGUUGAAGGUGGCCUGUGAGGGUUGCUGGAGGUAUCAGAAGUGCGAAUGCUGACAUAAGUAACGAUAAAGCGGGUGAAAAGCCCGCUCGCCGGAAGACCAAGGGUUCCUGUCCAACGUUAAUCGGGGCAGGGUGAGUCGACCCCUAAGGCGAGGCCGAAAGGCGUAGUCGAUGGGAAACAGGUUAAUAUUCCUGUACUUGGUGUUACUGCGAAGGGGGACGGAGAAGGCUAUGUUAGCCGGGCGACGGUUGUCCCGGUUUAAGCAUGUAGGCGGAGGUUCCAGGUAAAUCCGGUACCUUUUAACGCUGAGGUGUGAUGACGAGGCACUACGGUGCUGAAGUAACAAAUGCCCUGCUUCCAGGAAAAGCCUCUAAGCAUCAGGUAACAUCAAAUCGUACCCCAAACCGACACAGGUGGUCAGGUAGAGAAUACCAAGGCGCUUGAGAGAACUCGGGUGAAGGAACUAGGCAAAAUGGUGCCGUAACUUCGGGAGAAGGCACGCUGAUAUGUAGGUGAAGCCCCUGCGGGUGGAGCUGAAAUCAGUCGAAGAUACCAGCUGGCUGCAACUGUUUAUUAAAAACACAGCACUGUGCAAACACGAAAGUGGACGUAUACGGUGUGACGCCUGCCCGGUGCCGGAAGGUUAAUUGAUGGGGUUAGCGGCAACGCGAAGCUCUUGAUCGAAGCCCCGGUAAACGGCGGCCGUAACUAUAACGGUCCUAAGGUAGCGAAAUUCCUUGUCGGGUAAGUUCCGACCUGCACGAAUGGCGUAAUGAUGGCCAGGCUGUCUCCACCCGAGACUCAGUGAAAUUGAACUCGCUGUGAAGAUGCAGUGUACCCGCGGCAAGACGGAAAGACCCCGUGAACCUUUACUAUAGCUUGACACUGAACACUGGUCCUUGAUGUGUAGGAUAGGUGGGAGGCUUUGAAGCGUGGACGCCAGUCUGCGUGGAGCCGUCCUUGAAAUACCACCCUUUAAUGGCUGGUGUUCUAACGUAGACCCGUAAUCCGGGUUGCGGACAGUGUCUGGUGGGUAGUUUGACUGGGGCGGUCUCCUCCCAAAGAGUAACGGAGGAGCACGAAGGUUAGCUAAUCCUGGUCGGACAUCAGGAGGUUAGUGCAAUGGCAUAAGCUAGCUUGACUGCGAGAGUGACGGCUCGAGCAGGUGCGAAAGCAGGUCAUAGUGAUCCGGUGGUUCUGAAUGGAAGGGCCAUCGCUCAACGGAUAAAAGGUACUCCGGGGAUAACAGGCUGAUACCGCCCAAGAGUUCAUAUCGACGGCGGUGUUUGGCACCUCGAUGUCGGCUCAUCACAUCCUGGGGCUGAAGUAGGUCCCAAGGGUAUGGCUGUUCGCCAUUUAAAGUGGUACGCGAGCUGGGUUUAGAACGUCGUGAGACAGUUCGGUCCCUAUCUGCCGUGGGCGCUGGAGAAUUGAGGGGGCUGCUCCUAGUACGAGAGGACCGGAGUGGACGCAUCACUGGUGUUCGGGUUGUCAUGCCAAUGGCACUGCCCGGUAGCUAAAUGCGGAAGAGAUAAGUGCUGAAAGCAUCUAAGCACGAAACUUGCCCCGAGAUGAGUUCUCCCUGACUCCUUGAGAGUCCUGAAGGAACGUUGAAGACGACGACGUUGAUAGGUCGGGUGUGUAAGCGCAGCGAUGCGUUGAGCUAACCGAUACUAAUGAACCGUGAGGCUUAACCUU